AGCGAACGCUGGCGGCAGGCCUAACACAUGCAAGUCGAACGAACUCUUCGGUUUUAUUGGCGGACGGGUGCGUAACCCGUGGGAACCUGCCUUUAGGUUCGGAAUAACUCCCCGAAACUUGUGCUAAUACCGCAUUUUCUCUUCUGUCGAAAGAUUUAUCGCCUUUUGAGGGGCCCGCGUCUGAUUAGCUUGUUGGUUAGGUAAAUGCCUACCAAGGCGACGAUAAGUAGCUGGUCUGAGAGGAUGAUCAGCCACAAUGGGACUGAGACACGGCCCAAACGACUACGGGAGGGAGGAGAGGGGAAUAGUGCGAAAUGGGCGAAAGGCUGAAGAAGCAAUGACGGGUGAAUGAUGAAGGUAUGAGGAAAGAAAAAUUCUUUAACAGGGGAAGAGAAUGACGGUAACGGGAGAAGAAGCCACGGCUAACUACGUG
rnacentral:rRNA from 1 species